rnacentral:rRNA from 1 species
CGGGAUACUUUAUGCUGAGAACUGAGACGAACCCAUACUUGUAUGGGGAAGUAACUGAUGCCAUGCUUCCAAGAAAAGCUUCUAAGCUUCAGUCAGUAAGGGAUCGUACCCGAAACCGACACAGGUGGUCAGGUCGAGAAGACCAAGGCGCUUGAGAGAACUCUGCUGAAGGAACUAGGCAAAAUAGUACCGUAACUUCGGGAGAAGGUACGCUGUUGAUGGUGAAGGAUUUACUCCGUAAGCUAUCGGCAGCCUCAGAAACUAGGCCGCUGCAACUGUUUAUUAAAAACACAGCACUCUGCAAACACGAAAGUGGACGUAUAGGGUGUGAUGCCUGCCCGGUGCUGGAAGGUUAAUUGAUGGGGUUAGCGAAAGCGAAGCUCUUGAUCGAAGCCCCAGUAAACGGCGGCCGUAACAAUAACGGUCCUAAGGUAGCGAAAUUCCUUGUCGGGUAAGUUCCGACCUGCACGAAUGGCAUAAUGAUGGCGGCGCUGUCUCCAGCAGAGACUCAGUGAAAUCGAAAUCGCGGUGAAGAUGCCGUGUACCCGCGGCUAGACGGAAAGACCCCGUGAACCUUUACUGCAGCUUUGCAUUGAACUUUGACCUUACUUGUGUAGGAUAGGUGGGAGGCUUUGAAGCUCGGACGCCAGUUCGAGUGGAGCCAUCCUUGAAACACCACCCUGGUAAUGUCGAGGUUCUAACCCAGAUCCGUUAUCCGGAUCGGGGACAGUGUAUGGUGGGUAGUUUGACUGGGGCGGUCUCCUCCUAAAGAGUAACGGAGGAGUACGAAGGUGCGCUCAGCGUGGUCGGAAAUCACGCAAUGAGUAUAAAGGCAAAAGCGCGCUUAACUGCGAGACCGACAAGUCGAGCAGGUACGAAAGUAGGUCUUAGUGAUCCGGUGGUUCUGUAUGGAAGGGCCAUCGCUCAACGGAUAAAAGGUACUCUGGGGAUAACAGGCUGAUACCGCCCAAGAGUUCAUAUCGACGGCGGUGUUUGGCACCUCGAUGUCGGCUCAUCUCAUCCUGGGGCUGAAGCAGGUCCCAAGGGUAUGGCUGUUCGCCAUUUAAAGAGGUACGCGAGCUGGGUUUAGAACGUCGUGAGACAGUUCGGUCCCUAUCUACCGUGGGCGUUGGAGACUUGAGAGGAUCUGCUUCUAGUACGAGAGGACCGAAGUGGACGUACCUCUGGUGUUCGGGUUGUCACGCCAGUGGCACUGCCCGGUAGCUAUGUACGGACGGGAUAACCGCUGAAAGCAUCUAAGCGGGAAGCCUACCUUAGGA